rnacentral:lncRNA from 1 species
UUCAUCUCAACACAAUUUGAGAAUCAGAUACCACCAAGGCCAAUGCUACAUCAUUUCUUGAGCAAAGAUACAACUUGAAUGUAGCUGAGAUAACAUAAUGUUUAUCCCUACAACAGCUAGAGAAUUAGAUUCCACCAAGGCCAAUGCUACAUCUGUUUCUUGAGCAAAAGAGACAACUUCAGUGUAUAGAAUUUGAAGUCAGAAGUUAAGACAUUGGUUAUAUCCCAACAACAACUUGAGACUUAAGUGCCAUCAGUGCCAUGCUACAUCUAUUUCUUGAGCAAAGAUACAACUUGCAUGUAUCUUAGAUUGCUUUAAUUGCAAGUAGUAUUUGAAGUCAGGGCAUGUUUGGUAACCUCACAGACACUAUCUUCUGCCAGUAUGAUCCAAACUGAAAUGCAAGUAUCUAGGAGUCAGAGAGCUUCAAUUACUCAGCAAGCAUUGGCACAGACCCUGUGUCGGUAUGCUACCAAUACAUCGAGACCGAAGACAUAGGAUAUGCCUUUAGCAUUGACGGAGAGGUCCGAGAGUACAAAUUUCAUAGAUCGUAAAAUUCAUGAACACAAGGUGAUCGAAGAGGGAACGAAUUGCGGGAAAGGGAUCUCCUCACGAUGAUAAUAUUGCUAUAUGGGUUAUGCUCGAUACUCUGUUCAUAGUUUCUCUAUCAAACAAAACCAAAUAGAAAGAGAGAUACUAGAACUAACCUGAAUAAAGUGGCGAACCCAGUGAACGAGGCUCUAGCUAAUCUCAUAUUGACGCAAAUGAAAAGAAGAAAACAGAAUGAUGUCUAACUGAAACAAAUUUGACCAUAGUUAGCUCUAUGUUUCCAAAUCAUGCAACCGAGAAAGAACAUGUAUGCUAGUAGCUCGAAAAAAAAGUGAUGCGACAGAAUAUAUUUCAGCAAUUGUUAGAAAAAAAUAUAGUCUAAUUUGGUUUGAUUCUUGAUUGUCUCAAUGUGUGAUAUUAUAAUAUAUAGAAAUAAAAUGAGUAAAUGACAGUAUCAUGCUAAAGGAAUAAGUGAUUAUAUGAAUAUAAACUGCACAUAGUUCAGAGCAAUGAACUCAAUCUCCUGGUGGAUUAAAACUAAAGCUCCCAUCCCAUACCCAAAUCUAAUGAACUUCCACAAGUGUACCAAGUCAUCCCGGUUAUCCAGAGAAACCAAUAACAAUCCAUCAAAGAAAAUGAUACAACUAUGUUUUCAUAGGAAAUAAAAAAAAGACUUCUUGGACAAGCAUUAACAGUCCUAAGAAGAAAAGCUUAUCAUAUCAAAUAUGACCAGUGUCUUGUCUUUAUGGCAUUAAUCUAACUCUUCCUUUUGACAUGAGUUUUCAAGAACAAAUCCUAUGGUCUGCAAAGAUUAACAAGGCUUCAGACAUCAAUAUUGGUUCUCUAAAUUUCAUGAAGGGAGGCAUUACAAGGGGAUGACUUACCAACAACAAUUUGUGCAAAAAGAAAUGGUUAAAAGACUCAAGGAGCAUUGUGAUGCACAAGCCACAUAUGCUGUUAAGAUUAGGCACAGAACACAGUACUCAUGAAUAACAAUUUCACGACUGGCAUGCAUCCAGAGUUGAAAUUAACUCUCAUUUACUAAUAUCCAAUAAUAAAAAAUAUUUUUUUUCUCGUUAGAUUAAAUAUUAAAAUGCAAUUUCGAUACUAAAUUGCAGCGAGGGAUACUGAAAAGGUAGGAAAGCACCAAAGACAAAAACAUCAGUGACAGGGGACAGAAAGCAAGAUAACUCACGGUGGAUGCAAGUCGGGUUGGCGAGGCGGCGAACUCCAACUCGAGGAGAAAACGUUGGCGGCCAUCGUCGGGGUCAUCGUAAGGGUUCUCGGAGCCGCAGCAUUAGGAUCGACCGAAUGCGAAGCAAAUAAAAAACAACAAACCCAUGAAAUUACGCAGGGAGGAAAGUAGAAGAAGACGCAGGAAGAAGCACUUGCGACGACUCGGAUUCAGCGGGACACGUGGGGUACUCCUGUGGGGAGGCGAUCCGUCGUUCCCUGUCUCAGCCGAGACUGCCGUUAGUUGGGGAUCCGUGCCGACGAACGGCUUCAAAACGUCGUUGCGGGUCGGGUUUGAUCGGUAAUCCGCAUCAACCCGAUUUGGUUUAACCGGAAGCGGGUCAGUAGUGAUGUCCGCUACCCGUUUCCCAUCCUCUCC